GACGAACGCUGGCGGCGUGCCUAAUACAUGCAAGUUGAGCGAUGAAGAUUGGUGCUUGCCCCAAUUUGAAGAGCAGCGAACGGGUGAGUAACGCGUGGGGAAUCUGCCUUUGAGCGGGGGACAACAUUUGGAAACGAAUGCUAAUACCGCAUAAUAACUUUAAACAUAAGUUUUAAGUUUGAAAGAUGCAAUUGCAUCACUCAAAGAUGAUCCCGCGUUGUAUUAGCUAGUUGGUGAGGUAAAGGCUCACCAAGGCGAUGAUACAUAGCCGACCUGAGAGGGUGAUCCGCCACAUUGGGACUGAGACACGGCCCAAACGCCUACGGGAGGCAGCAGUAGGGAAUCGUCGGAAAUGGACGAAAGUCUGACCGAGCAACGCCGCCUGAGUGAAGAAGGUUUUCGGAUCGUAAAACUCUGUUGGUAGAGAAGAACGUUGGUGAGAGUGGAAAGCUCAUCAAGUGACGGUAACUACCCAGAAAGGGACGGCUAACUACGUG
rnacentral:rRNA from 1 species